rnacentral:rRNA from 1 species
AUGCACGCUGGCGGCGUGCCUCAUACAUGCAAGUCGAGCGAACAGAUAAGGAGCUUGCUCCUUUGACGUUAGCGGCGGACGGGUGAGUAACACGUGGAUAACCUACCUAUAAGACUGGGAUAACUUCGGGAAACCGGAGCUAAUACAGGAUAACAUAUUGAACCGCAUGGUUCAAUAGUGAAAGGCGGCUUUGCUGUCACUUAUAGAUGGAUCCGCGCCGUAUUAGCUAGUUGGUAAGGUAACGGCUUACCAAGGCAACGAUACGUAGCCGACCUGAGAGGGUGAUCGGCCACACUGGAACUGAGACACGGUCCAGACUCCUACGGGAGGCAGCAGUAGGGAAUCUUCCGCAAUGGGCGAAAGCCUGACGGAGCAACGCCGCGUGAGUGAUGAAGGUCUUCGGAUCGUAAAACUCUGUUAUCAGGGAAGAACAAAUGUGCAAGUAACUGUGCACAUCUUGACGGUACCUGAGCAGAAAGCCACGGCUAACUACGU